rnacentral:rRNA from 1 species
CUACGGGUUGCUCCAGUGAGGAAUAUUGCGCAAUGGGGGAAACCCUGACGCAGCGACGCCGCGUGGAUGAUGAAGGCUUUCGGGUCGUAAAAUCCUGUCAGAUGGGAAGAAGUGACAGAUGCCUAAUAUGUAUCUGUUUUGACGGUACCAUCAAAGGAAGCACCGGCUAACUCCGUGCCAGCAGGCGCGCGGUAAUACGGGGGGUGCAAGCGUUGUUCGGAAUUACUGGGCGUAAAGCGCGCGUAGGCGGCUAUUUAAGUCAGAUGUGAAAGUCUACAGCUUAACUGUGGAAGUGCAUUUGAAACUGGAUGGCUUGAGUACUGGAGGGGGUGGUGGAAUUCCCGGUGUAGAGGUGAAAUUCGUAGAUAUCGGGAGGAAUACCGGUGGCGAAGGCGACCACCUGGCCAGAUACUGACGCUGAGGUGCGAAAGCGUGGGGAGCAAACAGGAUUAGAUACCCUUGUAGUC